GGAAGAGAUUAACUUUCACUGUUGAUAUAUUCUAAGUUUUAUAUGGAACAGAACUCUCAGGUAGAAAAGUGAUUUUACUCUUCGAUUUGCAGAGCUUUCGAUAUCCAUCAUAAUUCCUGUCAUAUCCUGUGGAUAUUACUUUGACCAUUGCAGCCAGAAAUCCUGAUGUAAUCAGUUGUCUUCAGGGAGUUCUUUGAAUCAAAACCAUUAGGAGACUCUAAAUGAGCCCCGCUAGCGGCUCUUGCUGGGUUGUGCUCACAGCACGAGGAUCGACCUAUUGUGAAGAGGGGAAGGCAAUGGAGUUAAAUAGAAGGUGGAAACAAAAUCUUAAGACACUGUAUUUGUACAUGAAGAUUAGAGAACAAGGAGGAGAAACAAGAGACCUUCCAGAACAAGAUCUAGGAAGAUGGAGGGAGGAAUUGUCUUAUCCAUCAGCCUCUGGAUAGGCAGAACUUGCUUUUCCAGUUGAGUUCAUCUUCUGUUUCCUGAGACAAUGAUUCAUUCUGGAGAAUGAAUGAACUGCUUGGCAAAGAUAAAACCAAGUAAAGACAAAGGUAGUGGAAACCAGGCUCUGUACCCCUGUGAAAAGGGCUGAAGAUCUGUCGUUAUUAUAUCAGUUUUAGUCAAAG
rnacentral:lncRNA from 1 species